rnacentral:lncRNA from 1 species
GGCCACACAAAUAGUGUUUGAUGAAUGAUUUCCAACUCUCCUACAUGUUUGUAACAUACAGAGUGCAAAUGAAGAGGAAGUGAACAACAUAAGGACACGGUGCUAAACUUACUGAUGACUUAAAACCAGAAAUUCUUGAAAGUGAAAUUAAUGAAUAUGAGUUUUGUUGCUGUUGCUCCUUUCACAUCCGUGAGAGAGAAACAGUUGUUCAGAUUUGUGUGGCCUUGAUCAGAAACCUGAGCAAACAAAACCCUUAACUACUCAGCAUAUUUGAGGACGUGCGCGAUGCAGAGGAUGCUCUUCACAGCCUGGACAGGAAGUGGGUGUGUGGCCGGCAGAUUGAAAUCCAGUUUGCACAGGGCGACAGAAAGACACCAAAUCAGAUGAAAGCGAAGGAAAGGCGCUCUCCAGGCAGAUCCUCCCGAUACGACGACUACGAUCGUGACGGUCGGCGCAGACGCUCACGCAGCCGCAGCUACGACAGAUACAGAUCACGCAGCCCUUCGUAUGACCGUCGGCGCAGACGAUCUGAGAGCCCUCGAGACUCUCGUGCACGGAUGUCUGGAAGAGGAAGAAGCAGGAGCCACGAGGACGAAAGACACAGGCAGAGGCCUCGGAGAGAGACCAGAGGAAGAUCUCGAUCGCGCUCUAGAUCCGCUUCCCCACGAGAGACCGUCAACCUGGCAUCUACUUCCCAUUACGCUGAGGAAGAAGUGCGACGGACUCACUCCCCCUCCCGCUCCAGAUCCCGGUCGGUAUCGAGAUCACACUCUCGUUCACGCUCUCGGUCCCGAUCCUGGGCCGGACGCAAGACAGGAGGACGCUAGAAACGAUCUGUUCCCCCCUCUAACAGUCAUUCAGUCAGAUGGACCUGAGUUGGUCAUUUAAGAGAAGAUUUCUUUGUUUUGACAUGAAUGUAACGUCCACUGAACCAUAUGUAGAAACCUUGUUUUUGUAGCUCCAUGUUAAGAACAAUGAUGGUCCUUGGUUUUAUAAAUUAGUUUUGGUAAUAUUUCCUGAUAGGAACAUGACAUCAGUUUCUAUGUUCAGUGGUAGUUGGCCAGGAAUAAUCUUUUGUCUUUUUUUAUAUACAGUUACUGGUCAUUUUGUUUUCUCAGCCCUAUGCACCCAGUUUUGCAAAGAAAGAACAUUCAGUAUUUUAAAAAAGGAAUCUGUUGACUCAAACCACUGCUUCCAUGUAUUUUAUCACAUUAUAACAAGUAAUAUACUUUAUUACUACUGACCAACUGUCCACAGCUGAAGUGUAGUUCUGUUGUUUUUCAAUUCUUAUUAAUUUCUCAGUAACAUCAUAUUGAACAUUAUUGAGAUAAUUGUCCACUUCAGCUGAAUAACUGUAGUUCAGACUGAACUGAAAAUCAUGCAGAAUUAUCCUGCAGUAGUAACAUCUAGAAAGUUGAAAGCAGACAUGACAUUCACUGUGAUCAAAUUAAGCUUCAAAUCAAUUUAAGCUGGUUUAUCUAUAAUGAAAUUAAAUCCACUGGCUGCCUAAAUGUGAAGAAUGUCAUCUGUUGUCAGAGAUGUCAAUAUGAAUAUGUGCUAAAAUACAUGGAAAUGCUGCUGUGGUUCUUUUAAAAGUGUUAAAAUGUUGUCAACCAGUGACUUUAACAACAAGCUGUUUUAAUUUUGUGGUGUAUUUUCUGUAAGAGUAGAUGUUUCAAAAGGUAUUUCAUAUUGGAACAUUUCUCCAAAUACUGGUUCUGGAAGGAGGAGCAGAAGUUGCUUGUUGGUAUUUACACAACUGUGUGUUAAUUUUUCUAAAUCAAUCUUGUCACUGCAUGUUUUAUUCACCUAAUCUUCUAUCUUUAGUAGGAAGAAGCUGUUAUUUUGAGUAAUAAAUGGAUAAUGUUCUGUAUAAGGAAACAAUGCAUGGUUUCUGUUUGUGCUGUUGAACAGUGUCAGUCACAUUUAUUGUUGCUUUUAGUCUCCGCCCUGAUCCUUGAAGGUGGACACAUCAGAAUGAAUUCACCUGCAUGUCCAAUAGGUGCUUCAGUAUAAUUUAUAAACAUGCAUCCACAGUCUGCAGUCAUCUGCAUGGAAAACAGCACCGUCUGUCAGUCGGGCCGUGUCUAUUGAUUUCCUUUUAAUGGAACAGUAGCUGGGAGGAACAACUUAAAUUAGAUUCACAGUGAAGAAGCAUCCAUGUAUGAAAUCGGACAUGCCCCAUUGAUCCCGGAUUGAAAAAUUAUAAAUGCAUAGGAUGGUGGCAGAGGGUGUGAUGUGAGAGCAGCUGGUGUGAGCUACAUCACUGGGCUGGUUACAAAUACAGAACAGGGCUGAGAUGAUACAUACAUGACUGAGACAAACCUCUGAUCACUCAGCAGGUUGCACUCCCACCACAUGACCUUCACUCUCUGCCUCUCAUUUCUAUCAGUAACACUUAGUUGUAGCUUGGUAUAAAUUACAGGAGAAAAACAUUUUGUCCAAUUUUCCCAAUUUGCCUAAGUUGGAAUUAUCAUCAGUUUCAACUAAAAACACAAGUCGCUGUGUUGUCUCAUCCCUGUUGGAUACAACAUUCAUGCUCCCACAGGUGGACUACGCUGCUGUGGGCCUGGGUAGCUGCCAUCACCACAGGGGAUAUGAAUUCCCAGGUUUGAGCAGAAUGACUUCAGAUAGAAAAUCCACCUUUCCACUUUAUUAUAAAUACUAAAAGACCAGAUUGCGAGACCCAGCACAGUAACUGACACUGGACACGAAGUGACUCCUGGAUCUGAAGUUGGUCUGUUGUGUUCUGGUUUGAGUUGACCUGCCACCAUUAUAUGGUUCAAAACCAGUGGUCACAUUUUGUUUUAUUCAUAUAAUCAUUUGAUGAAAAAAAAUCAGUCCUGUGUAAAUUUAGGAUCAAACCAGUUCAGGGGCGUUUGGGUUCAGCCUGAAGUAGGCGACAGACACAUUUUACCCCUAAUGACUCUCAGGAACUGGCCCAGUCCAUUCGUACUGCUGCAAGGUAAAUGGCAACAGAGCACUGCAACAGUAUUGAUCGUUUUUGUGUUCAGUGGCUAUAAGUUGGGAACAGCGAGGGGUGGCAGGGGUCAGUUGUUGUCCAGUUUUCAACAACAGUGGAGACUGAAAUCUCUGCGUUAAGCUUUCGGCAUUUACAGCAGGAUAAAAGAUGUUUUUGUAGGACUGUUCAACAACAGCAGCAAUACUGCAGGAAGGCCUUCAUUACAUCAUAUCCAAUAUGAAAGGUGAGUUAACUCCAGUAUAUUUUAGAGUUGGUCACAGAUGCUGUUGUGUUGUGUAACUAUCCGAUUCUACUAUCUCAUACAGUCAGAAUAGUUUCUUCAGUGUUU